rnacentral:rRNA from 1 species
UGAAGACGACGAGGUAGAUAGGGCAGAGGUGGAAGUACAGUAAUGUAUGGAGCUGACUGCUACUAAUCGGUCGAGGGCAUGACCAAA